UACGAAAGGUGCAAGCGUUAUCCGGAGUUACUGGGCGUAAAGGGCGUGUAGGCGGUUUGUUAAGUCUGGCGUGAAAGCUCUCGGCUAAACCGGGAGAGGUCGUUGGAUACUGGCGAACUCGAGGACGGUAGAGGCGUGUGGAAUUCCGGGUGUAGUGGUGAAAUGCGUAGAGAUCCGGAGGAACACCAGUGGCGAAGGCGGCUAUCUGGACAGAGUCUGACGCUGAGGCGCGAAAGCUAGGGGAGCAAACAGG
rnacentral:rRNA from 1 species